GGAAAUGAAAAAAAGUUGUGAGCAUACAAACAUAUUCAAAUAUUUAGAAUGAACAAAAGUAAAUUUAUUGAAAUGGGAGCUUUAAUUUGUCAUCAAAUGAAGCUAGUGAUCAUAGGUUUUCCAUUUGUCCCAGCUGUGCAUAACUUCAAGAAAGCAUUCUUAAUGGGUUCACAUUGAAGUUAUAUACCUAGCUAAUUAUCCACCAUUGUAUUGUAUAGAAGUGGUAUUGAUCAGUUGUUACAGAUUACUCUAUAGUGUUUCAGUUAAGGUCACAGACUUUAGACCAAUUUACAAUCUUUUGAAUGCAAUAUAAAUUAUCCAUUAUCAGUCUCCAUGUCUUCUGUUGUCAGUAUUGACAGGUUUGAUUUGUUACCAGUAUCCAGUGUUUUGCAAUCUUCUUCUUUUGGUUGUUAAUAUAUCACAGGAACAGUAUACACUACCUGCAUUCAAAGAUAAAAUAUCUGCAUACAUUUGUUUCUGUAAUUCAGAAGUAUUUUGGGUGAGAUUAGUUCCUAGGGCCUAUGUAUUACAUUAAUGAUACAUGUAAUUGGUAUGUGGAUUCUUGUAAAGAGCUUAGUUGUUAUGGCCUUAAACUUAUGUUCUAUGAUUUGGAAAGGUUCUUCAGUAAAUAUGCAUAAUAUAUCAACAAUUAUAAGUGUGUUCAUUUGUUGUAAAAAUCGUUUAUCUCAUAAUAUAUGCGACAUGAC
rnacentral:lncRNA from 1 species